AGCAGCCGCGGUAAUUCCAGCUCCAAUAGCGUAUAUUAAAGUUGUUGCAGUUAAAAAGCUCGUAGUUGAAUUUCGGGGUCAGUAGGCUGGUCGUGCCACGGGUAUGUACUGGUCUUACUGAUUCCUCCUUCCUGAUGAACCGUAAUGCCAUUAAUUUGGUGUUGCGGGGAAUCUGGACUGUUACUUUGAAAAAAUUAGAGUGUUUAAAGCAGGCUAACGCUUGAAUACAUUAGCAUGGAAUAAUGAAAUAGGACGAUCGAUCCUAUUUUGUUGGUUUCUAGGAUUGACGUAAUGAUUAAUAGGGAUAGUUGGGGGCAUUAGUAUUCAAUUGUCAGAGGUGAAAUUCUUGGAUUUAUUGAAGACUAACUACUGCGAAAGCAUUUGCCAAGGAUGUUUUUCAUUAAUCAAGACGAAAAGUUAGGGGGAUCGAAGACGAUCAGAUACCGUCGUAGUCUUAACCAUAAACUAUGCCGACUAGGGAUCGGAUGAUGUUAAUUUUUUUAAUGACUCAUUCGGC
rnacentral:rRNA from 1 species